CCUACGGGAGGCAGCAGUGAGGAAUAUUGGUCAAUGGGCGCUAGCCUGAACCAGCCAAGUAGCGUGAAGGAUGACUGCCCUAUGGGUUGUAAACUUCUUUUAUAUGGGAAUAAAGUGCAGUAUGUAUACUGCUUUGCAUGUACCUUAUGAAUAAGGAUCGGCUAACUCCGUGCCAGCAGCAGCGGUAAUACGGAGGAUCCGAGCGUUAUCCGGAUUUAUUGGGUUUAAAGGGAGCGUAGGCGGGUUGUUAAGUCAGUUGUGAAAGUUUGCGGCUCAACCGUAAAAUUGCAGUUGAGACUGGCAGCCUUGAGUACAGUAGAGGUAGGCGGAAUUCGUGGUGUAGCGGUGAAAUGCUUAGAUAUCACGAAGAACUCCGAUUGCGAAGGCAGCCUGCUGGACUGUAACUGACGCUGAUGCUCGAAAGUGUGGGUAUCAAACAGGAUUAGAUACCCUAGUAGUC
rnacentral:rRNA from 1 species